CAAGCUCUCGUUUGUGGUGUCGCGACCUCAGCAUCGAACGUUGUUUCCGUAGUAGGCAGCGACGGAACCCUAAUCUAGCGGACGGAGCCGUAGUAACGAAGGUUUUAAGGCAGAGACCCUUCAUUUCAGCUAGCGUCGAAUUUUGCAGGGCUGAACUGCGCCCUGCACACACGAAAGUCGACGACGCGCUAAAGGCUGUUUCUGCAAUUCCUUUACAGUGCGAGUCGGUCUGAGUAAACGCAAAUUCGCCUUCACAUGCGGCGAAGAAUGACAACCCGCGCAGGUCGUCAAUAGCAUGAUUUCGUUCGUCACAAGAUAACGGGAACCUUAACUUAUGGACAGGCGCAUUUCACAUUAUAUUGUACGCCUUCUCACGGCAACAUAUAAUACGAAGCAGGAAGUCGUCUGCAUGUUUUCAUUUCUGCAGAUGUGACUACGGUUUGCAUUUUUCUCGGACCAUGCGCAAGCGUUGUUCUCAGACAAGAAAACAUGAGAAACUUUAAAUUUUUUCGAGUAAAAAGGGUUACCUUCGCUUCUCAGGCUUUCUGUACCAUCAAGUCGCGUUUGUAUCUAUCGGCAAACGUUUUGCUCUGUGUAUAUCUUUACAUUUUGAGUAUAUAAAAUUUUAGUUCUUUCGUUUUCUUAUCCAGGAGCUGCCUGAAACACAUGACAACAGGGUCAUCACCGCCGAGCUGGCCAUUCUUCUCCGAAGUCCAUAGGUUUCUAGGAUCCCUGCCUGUUCACGAUACAUCUUUAAUGGAAGAGGCUGGGUGCAGCGAGAGCACAACAAGCAGCACUGCCUCCGUCGAAGAACUGAUCUUCGACAUGCUUGAUUCCGGCUCUGCUUCUUGUGAAGACGUCGCCGAAGAUUGUUCACCUUCCGAGUCGCCAGUACAACAGGUUGAAUCCAGGAACCUCGCAAGUGGCAGUUCCGAAUGUGCCCGCAGGAAGAGAAGGCAACCGGCUGGCGACUUUCAAGAAAGGAUGCUUGAGGAGCAGCGACGGCAGAGAGAGCAGUUUGCUGAUGCGCACAAAAUGGAAAUGGAUCUCCGUAAAGAGGGGCUCAAGUUGCAAGAGAAACUUGUAGAUGCAAUGUUGAAGUUUUUUAGUAAAAACUGACAUGGUGUUCCACAA
rnacentral:lncRNA from 1 species